UGCACGGUGGUGCAGUUGGUAGCACUGUUGCUUUGCAGCAAGAAGGUCCUGGGUUCAAUUCCUGGGUCUUUCUGCAU